CCCGGCAAUAAAUUGCCGGGCUAUUUUCAGUCGUCCCUGUGGGACU
rfam:Desulfobacteraceae bacterium IS3 Ga0073107_10673, whole genome shotgun sequence.